GUGGGGAAUCUUCCGCAAUGGGCGAAAGCCUGACGGAGCAACGCCGCGUGAAUGAAGAAGGCCUUCGGGUCGUAAAGUUCUGUCUUUAGGGAAGAAGUCUUUCUAUGUAAAUAAUGUAGAGAGGUGACGGUACCUUAGGAGGAAGCUCCGGCUAACUACGUGCCAGCAGCCGCGGUAAUACGUAGGGAGCGAGCGUUGUCCGGAAUUACUGGGCGUAAAGGGCGCGUAGGCGGAUAAUUAAGUCAGGUGUGAAAACUCUGGGCUCAACCUGGAGAUUGCACUUGAAACUGGUUAUCUUGAGGGCAGGAGAGGAAAGUGGAAUUCCUAGUGUAGCGGUGAAAUGCGUAGAUAUUAGGAGGAACACCAGUGGCGAAGGCGACUUUCUGGACUGUACCUGACGCUGAGGCGCGAAAGCGUGGGGAGCGAACGGGAUUAGAAACCCUUGUAGUCC
rnacentral:rRNA from 1 species